AUGCAAGUCGGACGGUAGCACAGAGGAGCUUGCUCCUCGGGUGACGAGUGGCGGACGGGUGAGUAAUGUCUGGGGAUCUGCCCGAUAGAGGGGGAUAACCACUGGAAACGGGGGCUAAUACCGCAUAACGUCGCAAGACCAAAGAGGGGGACCUUCGGGCCUCUCACUAUCGGAUGAACCCAGAUGGGAUUAGCUAGUAGGCGGGGUAACGGCCCACCUAGGCGACGAUCCCUAGCUGGUCUGAGAGGAUGACCAGCCACACUGGAACUGAGACACGGUCCAGACUCCUACGGGAGGCAGCAGUGGGGAAUAUUGCACAAUGGGCGCAAGCCUGAUGCACCCAUGCCGCGUGUAUGAAGAAGGCCUUCGGGUUGUAAAGUACUUUCAGCGGGGAGGAAGGCGAUGUGGUUAAUAACCGCGUCGAUUGACGUUACCCGCAAAAGAAGCACCGGCUAACUCCGUGCCAGCAGCCGCGGUAAUACAGAGGGUGCAAGCGUUAAUCAGAAUUACUGGGCGUAAAGCGCACGCAGGCGGUCUGUUAAGUCAGAUGUGAAAUCCCCGGGCUUAACCUGGGAACUGCAUUUGAAACUGGCAGGCUUGAGUCUCGUAGAGGGGGGUAGAAUUCCAGGUGUAGCGGUGAAAUGCGUAGAGAUCUGGAGGAAUACCGGUGGCGAAGGCGGCCCCCUGGACGAAGACUGACGCUCAGGUGCGAAAGCGUGGGGAGCAAACAGGAUUAGAUACCCUGGUAGUCCACGCCGUAAACGAUGUCGACUUGGAGGUUGUUCCCUUGAGGAGUGGCUUCCGGAGCUAACGCGUUAAGUCGACCGCCUGGGGAGUACGGCCGCAAGGUUAAAACUCAAAUGAAUUGACGGGGGCCCGCAUAAGCGGUGGAGCAUGUGGUUUAAUUCGAUGCAACGCGAAGAACCUUACCUACUCUUGACAUCCAGAGAAUUUAGCAGAGAUGCUUUGGUGCCUUCGGGAACCGUGAGACAGGUGCUGCAUGGCUGUCGUCAGCUCGUGUUGUGAAAUGUUGGGUUAAGUCCCGCAACGAGCGCAACCCUUAUCCUUUGUUGCCAGCGAUUCGGUCGGGAACUCAAAGGAGACUGCCGGUGAUAAACCGGAGGAAGGUGGGGAUGACGUCAAGUCAUCAUGGCCCUUACGAGUAGGGCUACACACGUGCUACAAUGGCGCAUACAAAGAGAAGCGACCUCGCGAGAGCAAGCGGACCUCAUAAAGUGCGUCGUAGUCCGGAUCGGAGUCUGCAACUCGACUCCGUGAAGUCGGAAUCGCUAGUAAUCGUGGAUCAGAAUGCCACGGUGAAUACGUUCCCGGGCCUUGUACACACCGCCCGUCACACCAUGGGAGUGGGUUGCAAAAGAAGUAGGUAGCUUAACCUUCGGGAGGGCGCUUG
rnacentral:rRNA from 2 species